rnacentral:rRNA from 1 species
CCUACGGGAGGCAGCAGUGCGGAAUAUUGGUCAAUGGGCGGAAGCCUGAACCAGCCAAGUAGCGUGCAGGAUGACGGCCCUACGGGUUGUAAACUGCUUUUAUACGGGAAUAACGCGCCUUACGUGUAGGGCUUUGCAUGUACCGUAUGAAUAGGGACCGGCUAAUUCCGUGCCAGCAGCCGCGGUAAGACGGAAGGUCCGGGCGUUAUCCGGAUUGAUUGGGGUGAAGGGGAGCGUAGGCCGCAUGUCAAGCGUGCUGUGAAAUGUCCGGGCUCAACCCGGGCCUUGCAGCGCGAACUGGCGUGCUUGAGUCCGCGGAAAGCAGGCGGAAUUCGUCGUGUACCGGUGAAAUGCUUAGAUAUGACGAAGAACCCCGAUUGCGAAGGCAGCUUGCUGCAGCGGAACUGACGCUGAUGCUCGAAAGCGCGGGUAUCGAACAGGAUUAGAUACCCGUGUAGUC